UCGAACGGAGGUAGAAAUACCUCAGUGGCGGACGGGUGAGUAACACGUGAGAAUCUAGCUUCAGGUCGGGGAUAACAGAGGGAAACCGCUGCUAAUACCGAAUGUGCCGAGAGGUGAAAGACAAGUUGCCUGAGGAUGAGCUCGCGGCGGAUUAGCUAGUUGGUGGGGUAAAAGCCUACCAAGGCGACGAUCCGUAGCUGGUCUGAGAGGACGAGCAGCCACACUGGGACUGAGACAAGGCCCAGACUCCUACGGGAGGCAGCAGUGGGGAAUUUUCCGCAAUGGGCGAAAGCCUGACGGAGCAAGACCGCGUGAGGGAGGAAGGCUCUUGGGUUGUAAACCUCUUUUCUUUGGGAAGAAGAAAGUGACGGUACCAAAGGAAUCAGCAUCGGCUAACUCCGUGCCAGCAGCCGCGGUAAUACGGAGGAUGCAAGCGUUAUCCGGAAUCAUUGGGCGUAAAGCGUCCGCAGGUGGUGGGGCAAGUCGGCUGUCAAAGGUCACAGCUUAACUGUGAACAGGCGGUGGAAACUGCCAAACUAGAGUGCGGUAGGGGUAGAGGGAAUUCCCGGUGUAGCGGUGAAAUGCGUAGAGAUCGGGAAGAACACCAGUAGCGAAAGCGCUCUGCUGGGCCUGCACUGACACUGAGGGACGAAAGCUAGGGGAGCGAAUGGGAUUAGAUACCCAGUAGUCCUAGCCGUAACGAUGGAGACUAGGCGAGGCGCGUAUUCGACCCGUGCCGUGCCGGAAGCUAACGCGUUAAGUUCUCCCNGCCUGGGGAAUACGCAAACGGCCAAANGUUGGUGAAACUCAAAGGAAUUGACGGGGGCCCGCACAAGCGGUGGAGUAUGUGGUUNUAAUUCGAUGCAACGCGAAAAACCUUACNCAGGGCUUGACAUGUCCGGAACCCUCUGGGAAACUAGAGGGUGCCUAAGGNGAGCCGGAACACAGGUGGUGCAUGGCUGUCGUCAGCUCGUGUCGUGAGAUGUUGGGUUAAGUCCCGCAACGAGCGCAACCCUCGUUCUUAGUUGCCAUCAUUAAGUUGGGAACUCUAAGAAGACUGCCGNGUGACAAACCGGAGGAAGGUGGGGAUGACGUCAAGUCAGCAUGCCCCUUACGUCCUGGGCGACACACGUACUACAAUGCUUCGGACAAAGGNGNCANNGCCCAAGCCGCANNAGGCAGAGCAAAUCCCAUAAACCGAGGCCAAGUUCAGAUCGCUCUCUGCAACUCGAGAGCGUGAAGGCGGAAUCGCUAGUAAUCGCCGGUCAGCAUACGGCGGUGAAUACGUUCCCGGGCCUUGUACACACCGCCCGUCACACCAUGGGAGUUGGCCACGCCCGAAGUCGUUACUCCAACCAUUAGUGGAGG
rnacentral:rRNA from 1 species